UUGAUGUGAGAGUGAAACAUUGAUUGGUUGCCUCCUGCACACUCUGUACUGGGGAUUGAGCCUGCAACCUGGGCAUGUGCCCUCCCUGGGAAUUGAAUCAGCAACCUUUUGUUGCACAGGAUGAUGCCCAACCAGCUGAGCCACACCGGCCAGGGCCAUCUCUUUAUUUUUAAUCUGUGUGUCUUUCAAUCUGAAAUGUGGGUCUCUUUUGGGGAGCGUAUAUACAGGUCUUGUUUUUUUAUUCAGCCACCUAUGUCUUUUUUAAUAUAUUUUAUUGAUUUUUUACAGAGAGGUAGGGAGAGGGAUAGAGAGUUAGAAACAUCGAUGAGAGAGAAACAUCGACCAGCUGCCUCCUGCACACCCCCUGCUGGGGAUGUGCCUGCAAUCAAGGUACAUGCCCUUGACUGGAAUUGAACCUGGGACCUUUCAGUCCGCAGGCCGACGCUCUAUCCACUGAGCCAAACCGGUUAGGGCCACCCUAUGUCUUUUGAUUGGAUCAUUUAUCUAUUUACAUAUAAAGUAAUUAUUGGCAAGUAUAUAGUAGUUGUCAUUUUAUUGUCUUCAUUUUUGAGUUGCAGUUUACAUUCAAUAUUAUGUUAAACAAUCAUGUACUUUUACAGAGUGAUCAUAAUUAUUGCAAUUUUUAAAAAAUAUAUUUUAUUUAUUUCAGAGAGGAAUGGAGAGUGAGAUAGAAACGUCAAUGAUGAGAGAGAAUCAUUGAUUGGCUGCCUCCCGCAUGGCCCCCACUGGGGAUCGAACCUGCAACCCAGGCAUGUGCCCUUGACUGGAAUCGAACCCAGGAUCUUUCAAUCCACAGGCCGAUGCUCUAUCUACUGAGCUAAACUGGCUAGGGCAAUUAUUGCAAUAUUAUUGACUGUAUUCCCUAUGCUGUAAUUUACUUCUUUGUGACUAUUCUGUAACUACCAAUUUGUACUUCUUAAUCCCUUCACCUUUUUCCACCUAGUCCCCUCUGUUCUCUGCGUCUAGGUCUGUUCUUUUGUUCUUUAGAUUCCACAUAUAAGUGAAAUUAUAUGGUAUUUAUCUUUCUUUGACCGACUUAUUUCACUUAGUAUAAUAUGCUCUAGGUCCAUCGAUGCUGUUGCAAAUGGUAUAUUGUUUUUGGAUUGUUCUUGUAAUUCUUCUCUGUUCUUUAUUCUCCUGCUCUCUUUGAUGUUGACUUUAUUAUUAUUAUUUUUUAAUAUUUUUAUUGGUUUCAGAGAGGAAGGGAGAGGGAGAGAGAUAGAAACGUCAGUGAUGAGAAUGAAUCAUUGAUCAGCUGCCUCCUGCACACCUCCUACUGGAGAUCGAGUCCACAACCUGGGCAUGUGCCCUUGACCAGAAUUGAACCUGAGACCCUUCAGUCUGCAGGCUGACGCUCUAUCCAUUGAGCCAAAUCGGCUAGGGCGAUGUUGAUGACUUUAUAUAGUUUAUGUUUGGAUUCCUUUCUCUUAAUUUUUUUUUAUCUUAGAGAUUUUUGGUUUGUGGUUACCAUGUGCUUGAUCUAUAGCAAGCUGUGUUUAUAGCUGUCUAUUUUAAGUUGAUGGUUGGGUAAUUUAAUUCCCAACACAUUGUAAAUUCACUGCAAUUUUUACUUACCUCUUCCACUUUUUAUGCUUUUGUCAUUUUUUUUACUUUUUUUCGUAUGUGUGUGUUUAUGUGUAUCUUAAUUUGUUGUAAUUACACGUGAUCUUUCUUCUUUUGUCUUUUAACCUUGGUACUAACUUGGUUAAUGCAUUGCUUUUACUAAGGGUUUGCCUUUGUCAGUAAGAUUUUUUUCUUUUCUAUAUUUUCUUAUUUACAUUUGAUCUCUUAUUUUCUACUUGAAGUCUCUUUAACUUUUUUUUAUAAUACUCGUUUAGUGGUGAUGAACUCCUUUAGCUUUUUCUUGUAGGGAAACUGUUUUCUCUCUCCUUCAAUUCUAAAUUAUAGCCUUGCUGGGUAGAAUAGACUUGGUUGCAGGUCCUUUAUUUAUUUAUUUUUUUAGUUCUUGUCAUGUAUUUUACUUUUUCUUUUAAAAAAAAAUUUAUUGAAUAUACUGGGGUGACAUUGGUUAAUGAAAUUAUAUAGGUUUCAAGUGUACAAUUCUAUAAUCAUCUGUAUGUUGUGUUAUGUGUUCACCACCCAAAGUCAAGUCUCCUUCCAUCAUCAUUUAAUCCCCCUUUACCCUCUUCUACAUUCCCCCACCCCUCUUUCCCUCUGGUAAUCACCACACUGAUGUUUGCUUAAUUCCUUCACCUAAUUUCACCCAUCUUCCCAGUCCCCUUCCCUCUGACAGCUGUCAAUCUAUUCUCUGUAAUUAUGAGUCUGUUUCUAUUUUGUUAGUUUAUUUUAUUCAUUAGAUUCCACAUAUAAGUGAAAUCAUAUGGUAUUUGUCUCUCUUCGGCUUAUUUCACUUACAUAAUACUCUCCAGGUCCAUCCAUGCUGUUAUGAAAGGUAAGAUUUCCUUCCUUUUUUAUGUCUGAGUAGUAUUUCAUUGUGUAAAUGUACCACAGCUUUUUUAGCCACUCAUCUACUGAUGGACACUUAGGCUGCUUCCAAAUCUUGGCUAUUGUAAAUAAUGCUGCAGUGAACAUAGAGCUGCAUAUAUUCUUUUGCAAUAGUGUUUUGGGUCUCUUCGGAUAUAUUCCCAGAGAACCCAUCUCUGCAGGGGGAACCUUUGCAGCUGAAAUAUCCACCUAAAUCUCAGCUGCUGCCUGUGGAAGCAGGGCCAACCCUUUUUGUGUCUCUGCCCUUCCUACCAGUCUCACUGUGACUUCUUCUGUAAAUCCUUGGUUAUAAGUUUCAGCUAGUCUCCAGUUGGUUAUUCAGGUUGAUUGUUCUAUAUUUUAUUUGUAAUUCCAAUUGGUUCUGGGAGGCGGUUAGUGUAACAUCCACUUACAUCUUGGAUCAUUCUCUUUUCAUCACUUUGAAUAUUUUGUGCCAGUGUCUUCUGGCCUGCAAAGUUUCUGUGGAAAAAUCAGUUGAAAGUCUUAUGGGAGCUCUCUUGUAGGUUAUUAACUGAUUUUCUCUUGCUACUUUUAAGGUUCUCUCUUUAUCUUUAACACUCAUUUUGGCCCCUUAUCUGUGUUUGUUUCUAUGUAUGAGGUCAAUCUGUUCUGUCUCCUGAUAUUGACAGAGUGGCCUUAUAUAGAAAGUGUCUUGUAGGGCUCAGUUGCACAGUCUCUCUAAUCACCUGAGCUUGGUCCUCCAGGGGUAUCCCCUGUGUGUGGGUUGUGUGUUCCCUCUUGUUGUAGUUAUGCUUCAAUUGGUGCUGGCAUAUCAAUAGGUGGAAUUGACCCUCACUCAGGCUGGCUGACUGUGUGGGCUAGCCGUGCCUAUUGUGGUUGAGCUGUUAUGUGGGGACUGACCCUUGAGAGUGGGAGUCGCUUUUGUAGGAGUCUUAUUCUAGCUGAGUCUGCCCUUUGGGUGUUUUGGUUCUGGAGUUGGUUGGGUGGGAAUUUGAUGGCAUUCUGAAGCAGGACACUGGGCAUGUUGGGUUACUGGAGACUCUUGGGAGGGGCUCUGGUUCAGGCCAAGGAUGGUUGCCGUCGUGCAGGGUUUCAGGCUGCUUGGCAGAAGUUACAAUUUAUGCUGUUUGUAUGGUUAAAAUUUUUAGUUUUGCAGUCCAUACUCUCUGUCACCUCUGUUCAUCUUUGCCGUUAGAUCAGGAAAACACCAUAAAUGGUUAUAUAAAUGGAUGAACGUAGGUGUGUUCCAAUAAAAUUUGAUUGACAAAAAAUAGGCAACAUGUAAGAUUUGGCUUACAGACUGUAGUUUGUCAGCCCAUGGUCUAAACCAGGGGUGGGGAACGUGCAGGCCGUAUAAGACUUUUGCGCAGUCAUUUGGUCUAGCCCUGCCAAGGUAUUAGGGGGUGAGUUAAUUAAAUGUUUCAUGACAUAUAGCAAGCUAAUUUUAAGUUGAUAAUUUUGUAUGGCCCGCAGAUGAUGUUAUAAAUAUCCAAAUGGCCUUUGGCAGAAAAAAUGUCCCCCACCCCUGGUCUAAACGAAUAGCAAACGUCAUGCUUAUUCACCCAUGUUUAACAUUCUUGCAAUAUUGUAGAGAUAUAACCAGGAAGUAUUUAGUUUAUGCCAUUACCUUUUAGUCAGCUCAUAAGACCAGUUUGCAUAAGGAGGAUCUCUGAAGGUUCCAACCUUUGGUACCCAUAUUUGUUUUUGUUUUUUUCCAUUUUUUUUGUUGAUUCUCAUCCAAGGAUAUUAUAAGGGAGAGGGAGAGACAGAGAAAAACAUUGAUGUGAGAGAGAUACAUCGGUUGGUUGCCUCCUGCAUGCUCCCCGACAGGGCUGAGGGUCAAGCCUGCAAGCAAGUUAUGUGCCCUUGACCAGAAUCGAACCCAGGACCCUUCAGUCUGCAGCUGAUGUUUUAUCCACUGAGUCAAACAAGCUAGGGCAUUUUAUUUUAUU